CGGAGACAAAAGGUGAAAAGCUGUAUAGAUGUUGGUGUUAGUCAGGUGGGUUGGUAGAGAGUAGAAUAAUGGAAUCAAUACUAUUGUCUGUAACCUACCUGCCGCUGGGCUCUCUGUCUGGCCCCAGCAGAGACCAUCAGAGAGAGAGAGGGAGAGGGAGGGAGCUGAGAGGAAACACAGAUUCACUCUGAGCAGAAAAGAAAAGAAGACGCUGACUUGAAGGUGGACUGAUGUCGCAGAUGCCCUCCCUGUCCUGCUCUUCAUCUUCGUCUUCGCAACCAUUGCAAACUGUUUUAAUCAUAACUGAAUGUUGUGGAUCUCGUGUCUAGAAAAUGAUCAAGAAAUAAAGAUAAAUGCCCCUUUCCAAUAUUGAUAUGUUAAGUUUUAAGAUAAAUAUUUGGCUAUGUAUGUAUAAAGAGUUUUAGUUAGGAUACUUGUUAGUCAUUUUUUUGGAAGGCAAGUUAAAUGAAAGCCUGUUAUAGUUCUACUAUUAUCUUUAUUACAUAUGUGUGAGAUCACUGAGCUCUGAACAGCUAGACUCAGUAUAAGCUCAAUAAGUCCCAUUCAAAAUACCCUCGUCAUUUACCAACAGUUUAAAAUACAUUGUUCCUCUUAAUUGAUUGCGUCUCCCCCACAAUGUGCUCAACUGCUGCAUUGCUGAGCUCAUUAAAUGUUGCUCAGCAAAACAAAAGACGAUUGUGGGGGAAAUGCAGACAAAUACGUCAGGAUUAUGUUUUAAUUUAACUGAUCGGUUUUGCUUCUGAUCUGCAGCAAACCAGGGAGACCGCUCGCUGCUGCAGAAUCCAAACGUUAGAUGAGGUCAUGUCUUUGUCUGGGUGCAGCGACUCUGCGGUUCCUAUUUUUUAAUACGUUUCAUCUCACCGAUGUUUCUUUUUUUCACAUUCAGUUGCUCUAUAUUUAAACCCGCCCUGUGUAUUUUAAUUUCACAGUAUGCCCCUCUGUCCCUGAGACCCUUAACCUGUGAGGUCAAAGCAGGUCACAGGUGAGGUCCUCGGGAACAGGGCUGCAUUCAGUUUCAACGUCCCGUAAAAGAGAAGAAGUUUGUUCAAGGUUUUCACAUGAUAAACGUCUGUUCGAUAUUUAAACCACUGAUGCCUGUUAGUAUCCAGCUGUAUGUCUCCUCAGACUGAUUCAGCAUGUUUUCCUGUCAUGUCAUGAUCGAGACGCGUCAGGUUGGACAAGAAGACGAUGAUCCCUCCACCUGCUGCACAGUCGCUCUCAGGGGGCCAACCCUAUUGGCUGGCUUUGUGUUACAGCCCUCACUGGGGGCCAAUAGGAAGACAGCCAAGGGUUGUGACCCCGUCAUAUAUCACCUUCAGUUAUUGCUACAUCAUGUGCAUGUUUGCAUAUAUUCAUCUUGCUGUG